UACGAAGGGUGCAAGCGUUACUCGGAAUUACUGGGCGUAAAGCGUGCGUAGGUGGUUUGUUAAGUCUGAUGUGAAAGCCCUGGGCUCAACCUGGGAACUGCAUUGGAAACUGGCUUACUAGAGUGCGGUAGAGGGGUGUGGAAUUCCCGGUGUAGCAGUGAAAUGCGUAGAUAUCGGGAGGAACACCAGUGGCGAAGGCGGCGAUCUGGAAGACAACUGACGCUGAGACGCGAAAGCGUGGGUAGCAAACAGG
rnacentral:rRNA from 1 species